rnacentral:rRNA from 1 species
UCCUACGGGAGGCAGCAGUGAGGAAUAUUGCACAAUGGGCGAAAGCCUGAUGCAGCGACGCCGCGUGGAGGAUGAAGGUUUUCGGAUCGUAAACUCCUGUUAAGUGGGAAGAAAUGCUUGUUGUUAAUAGCGGCAAGAGAUGACGGUACCACUAGAGAAAGCACCGGCUAACUUCGUGCCAGCAGCCGCGGUAAUACGAGGGGUGCAAACGUUAUUCGGAAUCACUGGGCGUAAAGGGUGUGUAGACGGCAAUGCAAGUCAGCUAUAAAUUUCUUGGCUUAACCAAGAGUAUGUGGCUGAAACUGUUUUGCUAGAGGAUGGAAGAGAGAAGUGGAAUUCUCGGAGUAGCGGUAAAAUGCGUAGAUCUCGAGAGGAACACCGAUGGCGAAGGCAGCUUCUUGGUCCAUUCCUGACGUUGAUGCACGAAAGCGUGGGGAGCAAACAGGAUUAGAUACCCUUGUAG